rnacentral:rRNA from 1 species
AUAUCAAUAAGCGGAGGAAAAGAUACUAACAAGGAUUCCCCUAGUAACUGCGAGUGGAGCGGGAAAAGCUCAAAUUUAAAAUCUGGCGGUCUCCGGCCGUCCGAGUUGUAAUCUGGAGAAGCGUUUUCCGCGUUGGACCGUGUACAAGUUUUCUGGAACGGAACGUCAUAGAGGGUGAGAAUCCCGUCUUUGACACGGACUACCAAGCUUUGU